rnacentral:lncRNA from 1 species
CCCCCAAAUCACCGAUCCAAGAUAUCUGAAACCGUCCCUCUUGGCUAUGGUCUGAGAUCCAAUCUUCACGUCCCCGCCUACUUCGCUCGGCUCGGCGCUAAACUUGCACUCCUGGUAUUCUGUCUUAGACCUGCUUAGUUUGAAACCCUUAGACUCGAGAGUCUGUCUCCAUACCUCUAGCCUCUCGUUAACAUCGACCCUCGUCUCGUCUAUGAAGACUAUGUCAUCGGCAAAUAGCAUACACCAAGGCAUAUCCCCUUGAAUAUGAUGGGUUAGAGCAUCCAUCACCAAGGCAAACAAGAUAGGUCUCAGCGUAGAUCCUUGAUGGAGCCCCAUAACCACCGGAAAAUGGUCUGAGUCGCCACCCACUGUCCUGACCCUAGUCUUAGCUCCAUCGUACAUGUCCUUGAUUACUCUGAUGUAGGCUUCCGGCACGCUCUUAGCCUCCAGGCACCUGCAUAGCACCUCCCUAGAGACCUUGUCAUACGCCUUCUCCAAGUCGAUAAACACCAUGUGCAGGUCCUUCUUCUUAUCCCUGAAUCCUGAUGUAGGCUUCUGGUACGCUCUUAGCCUCCAGGAACCUCCAUAGCACCUCCAUAGGUACCUUGUCAUACGCCUUCUCCAAGUCGAUAAACACCAUGUGCAUGUCCUUCUUCUUAUCCCUAAACUGUUCCACCAAUCUCCUGACAAGGUAGAUAGCUUCUGUAGUGGAGUGACCUAGCAUGAAACCGAACUGGUUCACAGAUAUAGAUGUUGUAUCCCUCACCCUAGCCUCGAUCACCCGCUCUUAGACCUUCAUGGUGUGACUUAUCUAUUUGAUACCCAUAUAGUUGUUGCAACACUGGAUAUCCCCUUUGUUCUUGUACAGGGGCACCACUAUGCUCCAC